rnacentral:rRNA from 1 species
ACGGGUGAGUAACGCGUAGGAAUCUACCAAAUAGCGGGGGAUAGCCCGGCGAAAGCCGGAUUAAUACCGCAUAAUCUCUGAGGAGGAAAGUGGGGGACCUUCGGGCCUUACGCUGAUGGAGCGGCUGAUGUCGGAUUAGCUAGUUGGUAGGGUAAAGGCCUACCAAGGCGACGAUCUAUAGCUGGUCUGAGAGGACGAUCAGCCACACUGGGACUGAGACACGGCCCAGACUCC